rnacentral:lncRNA from 1 species
UGGCAUAUGGAGGUUCCCAAGCUAGGGAUUGAAUCAGAGGUACAGCCGCCAGCCUACACCACAGCCACAGCAACGUAGGAUCCUUAACCCACUGAGUGAGGCCAGGGAUCGAACCCAUGUCCUCAUAGAUACUAGUCAGGUUCAUUACUGCUGAGCUACAGCAGGAACUCCAGGGCUCCCCUUCUAAGCAGACAUAAUUCAGGGCUGACAUUUUUGGCAGCAGAAGGGGGUGUGGCUGGGUCUCCUUCUUGCCCCACGUGGGUCCACAAUCCUGACCGAGUGAGCAGGGUCAGGCCGCCCCUCACCUUACAACUGCUCGUUAGGCCCAGCUCCCACCCCAGCAGCAUCCUCUCCAUGUCCCCCAGUCAGCCCAGCACCCAGCCCAGGAGAACCCUGCUGAGUGAUGAGGGGGUUGGGCUAGAACCCCAAUUUCCUGCCAUAUCAAGUGCAAAUCCUGCCUGGAUUUCAGGGUUUUCCAGAAACUGCAGAUCACUUUUUCAUUAUUGAGCACGCACAGUGUGUAAAUAUAUUUCGUUUCUCAACACCCCAAUUAAGCCCCUUGGCUCUACCAGGACCUCCAUGUUCUGGCCACCUGCAUGUUCCACCUUUGACCACGUCACAUGGGGGUCCACCCCUCCUCCCUCUAGCUCAGUCUCCUCCAACCCCCCCGACGCCCUCCUGGAAGGGCAGGGCCGUAGCCCCUUCUCUCUUCCCCACACCCCUCCAGCACUCGCCACAUGUUGGGGCUGCAAGGUUUCGCGGGCAGCUUGUCCCCCACAGCCCUGCCCCCUGGGCAGCUGGGUUCCUGAUGGUGUGAGAACACAGGGACUUCACCCGGCUUCUGCCUGCGGCACGUUGGUCUCCUCUUGGCCUCAGUCUCCUCAUCUGUGAAGCGGGGAUGCAUCAAGUCACCGUGUCGCUGGGGUCUGGGGUGAUAAGGCGGGACAGCGCUAUGAGAGGACUACCACCUUGCAAGAGGGGUGUGCACACACGGGUCACCCUCGCUUCCAUUCCGACGUGUCCCUGUGGCCCCUCCAGGCCCAGCUCAGCACGACAGAGGCAGAGGUGCUCUGUAAAUACCACCUGAGGAAUCUGUAAAAUUUGAGGGGGCCAAGGGCGAAAAUGCGCCGUAAGCCCCAAUCCUAGGACCAGGGAGCCCACUUCGGAGCUUGGUGAGAGGAUGUUGGGACAGAGUGAAGGCACUCCCACAUGACAGAAAAUGAUGCAAGUCCAGAAUGAACUGGCCUAAGAGGCUAAGAACAGAAAUUGCUUCCAAAACCGUCUGAAGACUGGAGAUGGUUAUGGGGACCGUGGAGUGACAGCAGAGACGCCCUUCAGCCCACGAGCCCAGGCGGGCGGAGCAUGGAAGUCAGAGGCAGGAAGAGAGGAUGCCACAGCCCUCGCGCCAACCUGCUGCCCAAGAGCAGAGGCCCGGGCCCCGCCCCUGUCACCAGUCCUGGGCGCUGGGACCCUAACCCAGGCAGUCACCCCAGACCCCCCUCCUGGCCCCCAGAGCUGGAGGGGAACAGAAGGGUCCCUUCGAUGCUGGCAGUGCCCAGAGAGACCUCAUCACCCCUUUCUUUGGCCCUAGGUGGGCUCUGGUCCUCAGGCCUCGGCAGAGUCACACUCAGGUUCUUGGCCCAGGAGGAGUGACCUGGAGGGAGGGGGGACCCUAGUCUGGAGGUCCCUGAGAGGUGGGAGAUGAGAAUCUGGCAGGGGGCACCUCCUGGGCUGGGAACAUGCAAACGAGGCAGGGGAAGGAGUCUGGCAUUAAAUGUCAGGAAGAGCCCAGGGCAACUCGGCUUGUGCAAAGUUUGCUUUGGGAAGAGUCGUUCCACCUGACAGGUUACUCUCUUGGCUGGGGGCGCAGGGUGGGGCGUGGAAUGGAGGCGGGUGGGGGUGGGGUCAGGGGAGGGUCCCAUGCCAUUUGGAGCCCAACUCCCUGCUCUCCAUGUGUCUUACUUCGAAACACUUUCGGGUUUCCAAAUGAGACUGGUUGGGGGAUGGGGGAUACGCUCGGGCUUGGGACGGAAAUGCUAUAAAAUUGGGUUGUGAUGAUCACUGUACAACUACAAAUGUAAUAAAAUUCAUUAAAAAAUAAAAGCAAAAAAAAAAAAGAGCACAUCUCAAAGGCGUUGUGGAGGGGGAGGGUGGACAGAAACUCUGUGAAUUAUCAAGGGCCGAGCAUGCGCAUGCGUGAAGGCCUCACCUGGGAGCAGGAGAGGGGACGGGGCUGGAGAAGAGAGGAGGGAAAGGUAACAGGGUGAGGAGUGAGGGGAACAAAGGAAGAAGCAGGUGGUGACGGUGGAGGGAGGGGCGCAGACAAAGGGUGGCAUCUGGGGGAGAGUUAAAGUGGUGGUGGGAGAGGCCUGGACCUUGCCCUGAGGUCAUCCUGCUCUCUGCUGGCUUCACGUAUCCCUCCCUGGCCUCUAGGAGGAGCAGACCAGAGCCCCUCCACCUCCCCUUGACCUCAGCCUAGGAGACAAGGUCAGUCUUGCAAAGCCCACACAUCCAGCAGGCCAGCUUGUCUCCAACCAGCUCCUACGCAGCCUUCAAAACCCCGCUUCAGGUUGCCUCUUCCACGAAGCCUCCUUUCACAGGGGAGGCCACCUCGUCUAACCUUCUCAUUUCACAGACAAGGAGCUGCAAGUGCCGGGAGGAAAAAUGACUCGUCUAAGGUCACACAGUGUGGGUUUUAACCCACCCUUCUCUGGCCUCCACCAGAGGGCCUCAUCCCCAAGUUACACUCAAGCAGCACCAAGCCGUUCAGCACAGAGGUGUGCUCGAAAAGUUUCAGGGUUUUAACUUUAUAACUGCAGCGAAUUCUGGCAAAAAGGGCCUUCUCCUGGUUCCUGUACUUACUGCCUGCAUCACAAUUUCUGAACAUUGACUGAGCACCCUGUCCCCUCAGGCUUGAUUGACCUGAAGUUCUGUCUAAUUCAGAGGGUCCUUGUGACCACCCAACGCCAUCACAUCUGCUUAAGCGCCUCAUAGUCAGCAACACGCACUACCCUAGCCUGGCAGGGAUUGCGUUUGCAGCUCUAGGCCCCCGAUAGUGCCUGGCACGGAGGAAUUUCACGGGGGCGGGGGGGGGCGGUGGUCCCCACCCUGCAAGAGACCACCCCCUCCACACGCCUAACCCUUCUGGAGCUCUGGCACUCAGAGGAGUCUGUGAGUUUAGGGUGGGGAGGCCCUGAGCUGAGAGCGCCUGGCUCCGGCCCCACUCGCAGGAGGGCAGGGAGUGAGCAGAACCAGCCAUGGGGCCCACCUGUCUGGUGGGGAGUCUCCUGCCCACCACCUUGGGCCUGGGGUGGCCGGGACACCUGUUUGCCUUGUUACUCAGCAGAGCAGCUGGAGCCAGGAGGAUGCUGCUUUACUGGGGGUUGCCUUGAAGCUGUUCACGGGGGAGGUGGGGGCAGGAAAUGAGGCCAAGUCCUUAUUGAGGAGGAGCAGAAGGGCCAUGAUCAUCACCCAGGGGACAAGUCACUGGAGGUGUGGCUGCUGGGGGCGCCCAGCUGGCAGGGGGCAGUGAGGGGGACCCAGGGCUAUAGCUCAGUGUGCUGAGCCCUCUCCAACCUGUACAGGCGCGCAUGCACACACCUUGUCUGGCUUCAGGGGGGCCCCAGCCAUCCAGGCCCUUCAGCUUUCCACACUGUCUCCCCACCACCCACUUCCAUCUCCCCCCACAGGAGACCUCUUGCGAAUCCCAGAAACAAGCACCUUCAAGCCCACCUAUACCCCUGCCCCCCAUGGCUUUUCUCCUGGGUCCAGACGCGGCCCACAGGCCCUGCACUUCCUGGUCCCCAGGCACCCCGGUGGCUUACUCUGAAGCUUCCCAGAUCCCCAGUUCUUGCGCACACCACUGCCCUGCCCAGCCCUGGGCUUUCCUGGACCGUGGCCCUGGCCCUGAGUCUCCAGUCUCCCCCAAACUCCUGCUAACUUGGGAGACCCUUCCCCGGGCAGAGCAGCUGCAGCUGGCAGCAGCCGAAAGGCUGCUUGUGUUUCGUUAGCCAAGCAGAACUGGCCGGGUCUCAGGGGCCGAGACUCCACACCUGCACAGCUGCCUCCCUCAGGCUGGAGAGGCUGGGGUAUCACAGAUCUGGGGGCACCCCAGGGCUCUCCAGGCCAGGGAGCUCGCCCAGGCUCCGGGGUCAGCCCAGGCAGGAGACUAGGCAGCAUGCAGAGGGCUCAGGAGCUUCUGAGGGUGAAGGAUCCAGAUCGGGGACACUGAUGCCCGAGGGACCAGUUCCGGCCUCGAAAGCACCCUCAACCAGCCACUUCCCCGGAGCUGGCAGGGGAAAGCCCCCAUGGCAGCCAGACUUACCUGUUAGCUGCCUGGUGCCCAAGGAGUUGUCUGCUG